rnacentral:rRNA from 1 species
CGCGUAGGCGGUUCGAUAAGUCCCGUGUGAAAGCCCCCGGCUCAACUGGGGAACUGCACGGGAAACUGACGGACUUGAGUUCGGGAGAGGGAAGCGGAAUUCCGGGUGUAGCGGUGAAAUGCGUAGAUAUCCGGAGGAACACCGGUGGCGAAGGCGGCUUCCUGGACCGACACUGACGCUGAGGCGCGAAAGCUAGGGGAGCAAACG